ACAGAGUUCUUAGAAACAGACAAGCCAUCACUGCCAUACGUUCUCUGUUCUCUGUUUCUGACUCAUACAGUACACCAGCAUAACAAAGGCUCAUUUCUUACAUAACCAAGCUUUGUGGUGGCUUUUUAUGAAGCUAAACAUAACUAGUUGAUGCUGGAGUCUGAAGAGCUGGGAGCCAGUUGAUUGGAGUUCUUCCUUUUCCGAAGAAGUUAGAGAAUGAUUCAUUGACAACAGUCUCCUCUCUCACUGCAAAGGGCCAUGGCAAAUGCUUCAGCUUCACCUUCCUCACAUCUGUGCAUCUAGUGAUCUCCACAUAAAUGUCCUUUCCUCAGAGAAGUCUCAUGGGACCUAUCCCACUCCAUGCCAGUUAAGGCAGUUCAUCUCAGGAGUCUUAUUAAGGAAGUCGGAGCCAAUUCCAGCGUGAUGAAGUUUUGAACCUACUUUUUCUUCUAUUAGGCACAGGGUCUCUGGUUCAAUUCCUACGUCCUUGACCCACUUUGAGUUGAGUUUUGUGCAUGAUAAAUCUCAGCAAACAUACAUGGCAUGCCAAUCAAGCUCUUGCUCUUGAAAUCUUUGAAAUGUUGAGGAGAAGUCAAAGCAUGAAUACAACCUGGAGUGAGGAGAUGCAUAUAGAAAGAUGUAAAUUCUGAUGGUGUAAAUGCUGCAAUUAGUAAAUGCUGAGACGACAGAGAGACACUGAGAAAAAGAACUGCUAUGUCGAGAAGUUCCCUCCAACAAUUUCCUUGCACACUGUCUCUCUCUUCCUUCAGUAGACACAAGUUCUAAAUAUCACAGUGAUUUGCAUACCCUGGGGAACUUUUUGAAGGCCUUGGCUCUUGGCUCAAGAACAGUUUUCUUUCUUAGACUUGACUGAACAACAACUGUAAGUGCUCAAAGAAGACUCAGUUUAAGGCGAACCUAAAGCCACCCUGCUAAGGGGCUGAAUCAUGUCCCCCGACCCUGUCAAGAGGCUGACGUUUUACCCCCUCUUCUUAUUAAUCUGACUUUUGUUUUUAAUUAGGCUCUUUGCAAAUGGUCAAGUAAAGCUGAUGUUAUUAGAGUGACUGUGGUAUAAACAGCCUCCUUAUAGGAAGGGGAAGUUUGCCUACCUAGAAGACACAGGCAGAGGGAAGAUGAUGUGCAGACUCCGGGAGAAUGCCAGGAGGUACCUGAGAGGCCUGCAGAAGGAGCCAAUCCUGCCAACACCUUCAUUUCAAACUUCUGGUUUCCAGAAAUGUGAGACUGUAGAUUUCUGUUGCUAAGGUCACCCAGCGUGAGGUACUUUGUUACAGCAGCCCCAGGAAACUAAUACCCACCCUUUGCCUGAGAGGUAAAUACUGCUAUUUGUCUGCUACCCUCAUUGACUUCACUGAAAUGUGAGUCAUGUAGGAACGGAGACUGCAGCCAUUGCAGUGUCUACAACAGUGUCUUGGAGGCAGUAGCUGCAACACAAUUAAAAUUCGCAGAAUGAACUGAUACUUUUGGGCCCAGCGUGGCAAGCAGCAAAUGCAGGAGUGACUGUGUCCUGUUUUGACUGAAUCAAACGACAGGCACAUCAUUGCUGUGUGUAGUCUAUCAUCUUAAUCGUAAUCAUAGAUUUGUUUUGGAAAAUUACCUCCAGUCAACAAAUAAUGCAGGCCCAGAUAAUAGAUGCACUCUGCUCUGAUCUGCAUUGUGUAUCUGAUGAUUGGGAUGGUCUUGCUGUUCUCAUGUUGGAUUAUGAACACUUGAAACAGAACUGUCUUGCAAUCAUAUGAAUAAUAAGCACUUAUAUUUAGAUAUUAUGUUUCUUCUCAAGCAAGCAUAUAACUUACCUUUAAAAACCAACAAUUUGUAAGACCCGUCAAAUUAUCCUGGUGAGGUUCUGUGUUAGUUCUCUAUUUCUCCCAUAAGAAACAUCCAAAAAAAUUAAUGACUUGAAUCAACAUGGACUUAUUUACCUGUAGUUCUCAAGAUCAGGAAUCUGAAAGGGUCUCACUGUACUAAAAUUAAAGGGGUGAGAAGGCUGAGGUCCUUCUGGAGGUUGAGAAGAUAAUUUUCUGUCUUUUCCAGCCUUUGGGGAAAUUUGUGCCUCCUGGCUUGCUUCUGUCAUCAAAGCCAGCAACGGCCAGUCCAGCCCCCUCCGGUAGUCACCUCUCUGGCUCUGGCACUUCUACUUGCUUCUUUCCCAUCAGAGGGGUAUUGUGAUUACAUUGGGAUCCCUGAGUCAUCCAGGAAAAUUUCUUCAUUCUAAAGCCAGGUGAUUGGCAAACUUAAUUCCAUUAGAAAACCUAAUUUUGCUCUUGCUUAUACCAAAACCUAUUUGUGAUUUCCUGAAAUGGGGAGGUGGACAUCUUCCCUGGAAGAACAUUACUCCACUUCCAAUAGGAUAAGAGAGAACAUCAUUACCUUAAUCUGCUGCCAUGGUUUUUGUAUGUUAGCCCUCUCAGCGUGCAAAAUUAUUGUUGGGUAUUACAGGUUGUCUUCUGUCCUGCUGAUGCCACACUCAAAAGCUACUCCAGGGGUUAACUGAGGCCAGAACAUGAGUUUCAAAGCAGGUCUAAGAAGAACUUUUCACAAAAAUCUAUUUUGCAAGAUAUUCACAAACAUUAUAUGUAAAAGAGUGUUUCAUGGUUAAAUCACAUGGGGAAUGCAGAUUAAGCAAAAUACUGACCGAGACUUCUAAAAGCCUUUGUCUCUUUGGAUUGUGGUUCUCUAGGAGAGAAACCAUAGUCUGUAAAGUUCCCCAAAUUUCUUUGGCCAUAGAAAGCUUGUUAUUGCAAAGCAUUUUGGGGCACUAAUGAUGUGUGGAAUACUCAGACAUGCUGGUAUAAAUUAUUGCAGAAAAUUAGAAGCCUCUCUAGCAUGAAGGGUCCAUAGGAAAUUUGCUUCUAGGACUCCCCACAUUAUAUUGCAAUGGCAGUUGCUUUUAAAAGUGAAUCAUCCUUUGAGGACUGAAAAAAUAAAUUUGCUACUUAGAAACCUUCACAGCAAGAGAUUAUUGCAGACUGGCUUGACACCCUCCUAAUUCAAUAUGCUUAAACUGAAUUUAUCAUCUUCUGCCUCCUUCUCCCCAAUCUACCUUGCUAUUGGGACUGAGUUAUGUCUUCUCCAAUUUAUAUGUUGAAGUUCUAAGUACUAGUACUUCAGAGAAUGGCUGCAUUCGGAGACAAGGUCUGUAAAGUGGUCAUUAAGUUAAAAUGAGGCUACCAGGGUGCUUCCCAACUCCACAGGACUGCCAUUUUUAUCAGAAGUGGAAAGAAGCAGGCACAAACAUGGAGGGAAGGCCAUGGGAAGACAUAGGGGGACAAUUGCAUCCAAGAGGCAGGCAGAGAUGCCUCAGGAGAAACUACCUGGUCAGUACCUUGAUGUCAAAAAACAAAUUUCUGUAAGUUACACAGUCCGUGGUACUCUGUUACACCAGUCCUAGGAAAUUGACAUACUUACCUUUUGCAAAGAUACCACCUGAUUUCUAUGCUUUAUCAUUUUUCCUUCUAUGUAUUUCUUUGGUUCAUCUCUCUUUCACUCUAUCCUGUAUCUCCCGUGUUUUCCUGGGUGGUCUUCACCCCUCCUCACAGAAUCACCCCCUGCCAGUGUUUUCCCCUGAGAUGGGUCACUAUUCUAAUCAUUGCUGUCUUUUCUGUCAAUCCUACCUGCCUUCCCAGGGUGAAUGUCAUGGCCUUGUUCCACUGUUUCACCAGAGAAAGGUUCCAUCCCCGCCACAUCCCAUUGGUAUCAGUUCACAAUCCUAACUGGUCCCUCCUUGGAUCCCACUCCAGUCAGCCCGUGAGCUUCUAGGGACAUGAUGGGCUUCAUUCCUGCUGCCUCCCUCUACUCAUAGGAUCUCUCUGCCCAGGGCACCCUAUUUCCCUCUUUUUUACCCAUCUAAACUAUUACACCUUGCUGUGGUUGAAAUGUCCCUCCAAAUUCAUAUUGAAGUUUCCUGGCCACUGUGACCAUAUUGGGAGGGUAUCUGCCAGAGGUGAUUAGAUCAGGGGACCCUAUGGGCUGGUUAUUUGGGAGUAGCUUUGGCAUAAAAUUGGACUCUGUCUCUUUUGAGCAUUCUCUUGCCUCUGAACCCUCCCUCCUCUCCUCCUUCUCUCCCCUCCCUUUUCUGGUAUGGUCUUGCCAUGUGGUACCUUCUACCACACUGUAAUGAGGCAAGAAGCCCUUUGAUCUUGGACUUCCCAGUCUCCAAUAUUGUGAGAAAUAAAUUUCUUUUACAAUUAUCCAGUCUCUGGUAGUAUGUAAUAGUAACAGAAAACAGACUAGGGUAUUCCUUUGAAGCCUUGGCUCAUAGCCCCCUGCUUUCCUUAAAUUUCCCAGCCCAUGUUGAUUGUGCUUCCUGCCCUCCUACCCGAAGUGGGCUUCCACAGAAUACUGCUUUUCUCAAUAAAAACAAAGCUGGAUCCCCCAAGUUCUCAGAGGAAAGAAAAUGAACUGGUGGAACCAAGCACCAGUCUCCUGCCUGGAUGGAUUCCAGGAAAUCACCGUGUCCUUGGGAUUAUUCUCUAAUUCCCCUUUGCAGUCAUGCUGGCGUUUUUUGGCCCCAGAGUGGAAGGCUAUAUCAAUAUCAUGUAAAUAUAUUAUAUAAUGCCUGCACAAGCAUCUUACAGAUUCCUUGAAAGAAUGAAAUAUGCUUGGCAAAAGGUGUAGGCAAAUGCAGUUAUAAAAUAUAUAUAGUUGGUGCCACAGGUUUACAGACCCCUAUGACAGCAUGGGUCCUGGGGAAAUCUCAGGCACCCAAGGUCCUUCUUUUGCUGGCAACUGGUAUGACUCUGCAGGAGAAAUCUUGCUUUGAUCCUUCUGAUCAGUCACCUCAAAGCCCAGAUCAAGGAUGACAUACUGGGUGUCCCUUCUUGCCCUCAGGACUUUGGAGACCAGCUUCCAUCCACAUGAUUGACACUGCAGUGAUUUCUGUUCUCAGGAAACAUCAUGUGUUCUGCUUUUUUUUUUUUUUUCAACACAGCCUAACACUUGCAGAUCCACCGAAGGAUGAAGCUACCACAUAAAGCAAAGACCCCAGUGGUCACAAGCAUACAGCACUAGUCAUCAGUAGGUACUGUAGAAGGCCUCCCACCCUCAGAUGAGCACUUCAAAGAAAAAGAUUUUUCCAGCAAAGUAAGCAGGUGCUAUAUUUAACAGUGUUACGGAAGUAGUUGGGCAUUUCUGUUACAAUUUCAUAUAAUAAUCUAUUAUUUGUCAUAUAUAUAUACAUAUAUAUAUAAUAUAUGAUGUAUACACAUUUCUUACCCACAAAUUACCUACACCUAUACCUACACACACAAUAGAUUGUUGAUAUAGUCUCACAGAGUUAUAGUGAAUUUUAAAAAAAUCCAACAAAAUACAGUUGGGAGAGAAGAUCCCCCAGUCCAUUUCUUUUAGCUGCUUUUGACUAGAAACUGUUAAAUAAAUGAAGAACAGUAAAGAAGACCACUGGGUACACAUACCCAAUGGUGUUUCCUGGGGCUGGGGAGAAGAUGUCUUGGAAGUUUAGGUAUUUGAAAUACAUGAAGUGGACUUUUUCUUUAUUAUUUUUAAAUGAGCACAUUUACAUCAGGGAGUAUUCUUUUCAGGAUCUUAGAGUUCCACUCUGAACUGCACAUGAAAAGAAACAGUAAGAACAGAAGUUAAAAGAUGAUUAGAAAGCAGCAUGGUGGGAUUUAAACCUGCAGAUUAAAGAUGAAACGUUUGCCAGAAAGAUUAUCAGGUGAGGCAUCUGCUGCUGUACAUGAAACAUGCUGCCGAGUACGGGGUAUUUUUUAGAAAUCGCUUUUUCUGGAUAAGGAUUCUGAUAUUCGCUUAGUAAACAGAAUAAUUAGUAAAGAUUAAGAAAUUGUUCCCUGAAGUUUCUUGAUUGAUAACAUUUACUUGGCAUGAAGUUGUGUGGAAAUAAAAGCUUAUCCAUAUAACCAUGCACGAUUUUUGAAUUAGGCACUGUUAUUUGAUCUUAAUCAAACUGAAUUGACAGCUUGUCUGAGUCUCAAAAUCCACCUAAGUUAAUUAUAAUAAAUUUAUUGGUCUUAGAUUUUGUGACGUCAGGGUAGCUUUAUCUUUAUUCAAGCAAGUCAGGGGAAAAUGAGAUCAAUGCUGUGUGGACACUUACACGGUUUUGCUCAGUUCCAAGAAGCCUUGUUUAUGUCCUUUUCAAUCCAUUGUUCAGUGGUGUGCCUCGAGAAAGCAUGGGGUGAUGUGAAUUAAAAAAAAAAAAAAUCUGUGUCACAAGGAUUUGGAGUAAAAAUUGGGCUCUUGACAGUACAAAUUGGGUAACUGAAUACAUUUGUCAGGCCUUCCAAGUCCAAUUUACCUUUUUAUAGAAAAAAUUAACCCCUUUUCCAAGUUAUUAGGAGAAUUUCCUAAGAUAACUUAGCAAGACGGGUUCUCAGUACAGGUAAUUACUAUUGGCACUGAAUGGGAAAUUUUGUGUUUCUGAAUAGGGCACUAUCUCACAAUAGCUCAUGAAAUAUUUGAAAGCAUUCCUACCUGGGACCCCCUUUCUGCUCACCUUUCCCGUGUUAAAGUCUCACACAGCUCAGGAGGGCUAUCCGCUAAAUUCAGGGAAAGAGGCCAACUACUGUGUAGACCAGGUGGGGAUCAGCCUGCGUCCUACGUGCACAGGAUCCCCAGUGACAGUCUUUUUUCCCUUAGAUAUCCAGGGCAGCCGGAAGACAUGAGAUAUGCUUGUCUGGCUAAAAAAGAAAAUAACUUGUAAAAUGAAACUGGCAAGGGGGUAGCCUAUUUCUGCCAGGCAGCCCGAAAUCAAUCACACUGUAUGAAUUGGCUUUUGAGGUGUGUACCUUGUCCACUGAUAGGACUCCAAGGACAGGGUGAGGCUGAACCCUUUCAUUUGGUCCAUCUCUUCUCUGAUUUGGAUCCUGCAAUAAAAAAAUACACAAAGCCUGUUUUUAGGAACAAGAGGGAAAUCAAGAUCAAAACUGCAUCUGUGCUCGCUGUUUUCAUCCUACCCAUAUAUGCAUUUUAAAAUGUCAUUUCCACCCAUAAAAUCCUCAGGGGAGCCUUAGAAUCUUUUUGUCAUAGCAUCAUAUUGAAGAAUUGGCAGAGCAGAAUGCAAAAUGCUUCAAUUGUUUUAUUUUUUUUAAAUCCCAUUAUUUUAUCUCUUCAUUAAUUUGGCAUCCUGUCAAUAUUCAUUGAGCAUCUCUCCUGUGCCACUUUAGUUCCAGGUGGGAUGGAGCCAGGUGUGAACAGGCCUACCUUGUCCUGUUCUCUCACUGUGCUCCUGUGCCCUGUUUCUGUGCCUUCCGGUGCUCACUGACUUCUCAGAUGAUGGAAGAUCCCGUGGCCCAGUCCUUGGACCUCUGUGUUCUAUUCUUUAUCUCUACCCCUACCUAGGUCAGGAGUUAGGUGGCAUUUUUUUUUUCCUGUAAAGGGUCAGAUUCCUCCAUAGCUUCUCCCAUGUCUUCUUUCCUUUACUUUUAUCCCAAUAAAAAAAAUCUACAAGUGCUUCCCACCACCAUCAAAGCAAGGCCUGAUAUCCUCAUUGCGGUUCCUGAAGGGUCCAUGUGAUCUGGCUGUUGGUCUCCUCUUGAUCUUAUUUCCUGCACAGUGGCCUUACUGUGCCUACAAUCCAUGGAGUCUGCCCGGUCUUAGCCCCACGGUGGGUGCUUGCUUUUCCCCAGGCCUGGAAUGCUCUUCCUGCAGACAAUGACACACUUCUGCCCUUACUUCCUCAACAAGGUCUUCCCUUUAUUCUACUUUAGACUGCUUAAGAGACUGAUAUGCAAAUAUAUUUAUUUCCUAUUUGCCUCCUCUAUUAGAAUGGAAGCUUUGCAACUUGGGGACAUUACCAUUUGGUAACUGCAGUGUCUCUAUUCUUAAAACAGAAUGUGGUCCAUAGAAGGUGCUCAAAAAUAUUUGAUGACUGUCCAGAUAAAUAAAUGAAUGGGCAAGGAAACACAGACAUGUUCUUAUUCCUUGUAAAGCUCAUAGUCCAGUGAGAUUAUUCAAAGGGGUAAGUAGUUGAACACCUUUGAUAAGAAGGGACAGGAAAACCUGGAGCCCCAUUCCUCUCCUAGACUGUCAGAGCAAUCUUCUCAGAGACAGUAGAAUCUUAUUUGAGACCUUGAUGAUGAAUUGUAGUUAGUCAUCUCAUACAAGGCAUGUACCUCUGGGUGUGUUGGAGUGAAAAGAAGCUAGGGAAGCUGAGCCAGGUUGAACACUGAACGUGGUUUUUGGUGUUGCCUUUCUUAUCUGAGUUGAUAUUUAAGAGCUUGAAUUUUUACUAAUUUUAAGCUAAGCAAAUUGUUUGACUGACCUUGUAAAAUCUGAUCUUUGGGUUGCAAUUGUCCCUGCCAUGGAAGUAGCUAGGAGGUAGAGUUUACUGUUGGUAACACACUGGGCAUUCCUGUCCUGAAGGGGAAAGUAAUGGUGCCCUGAAUUGAGAUUCAGAGAUGAAGAGGACUGUCACUCCUUGCCCUCACUUAAUGAGUGAUUUUUUUUUCCUGGGGAUUUAAUCAUUUUGGAUCAUCAUGGCAACUUUUCAAUGAUGGGAAGAAAAGCCAAAACUUUAGUAAAAGCAAGAUUAACAAGAUUAACCAUCAUUAUCUCCCCCGCUUUUCCAGAAAUGUGAUUUAAUCACAUUUUUACUUGCAAAAUAUACAACCCAAGAAUUUUCUUGAAUUUAAAUUUGCCAAUGCUUUUAGCAUGUCUACAUUUUCAUUUCAAGCUUUGUGAAACCAGCAGGGAUGAGAAUUAUCCCCAUUUUACGUGGGAUAAGUUGUUUUCCUUUUCCUUGCCGGUGGUAUUCCUUAUCAUCUGUUUGAAAACUCAAGAAGAAUUAAUUAAUGAGACAUCUCGCAUUGACAAAGUACCACAUAAUGGCCCUUGAAGUGGAGCUGCAAUCAAAAUAAUGCAUUUCUCACAGUAGACGGUGGUUUCGAUAAUUUCAGGAACUGUUUGAAACAGGUAUUCACAGCUAGACCAGACAAGUCCACGCUAUUCACUUUGAAUACAUGGUAUGAGGAUUGUAAAUUACAUCAAGCCAUUAGAUUUUACCUCUGACUUGUGAAAAGAGCAUGGAAAAUACUUCAUGUUCAGUCUUUGGAAAAUUGUAUCACUCUUCCAAUAAGUGAUGUCAACUCAUGUGUCAGAGAGAUGGAUCCCAAACUAAUCUCUGGAGAAAAAAAAAUUAUUUGGUAUGAAAUUGAGAAGAAGUCUAUGUCUAAUAUAUUGAAGGUAAUAAAAAUAAACUAUGUUUUUAAAAUAA